AGCAGCCGCGGUAAUUCCAGCUCCAAUAGCGUAUAUUAAAGUUGUUGCAGUUAAAAAGCUCGUAGUUGAAUUUUAGGCCUGGCCGGGCGGUCCGUCUUUGGCGAGUACUGUUCUGUGUCGGGUCUUACCUUCUGGUGAACCGGCAUGUUCUUUAUUGAGUGUACCGGGGAGCCAGGACCAUUACCUUGAAAAAUUAGAGUGUUUAAAGCAGGCAUUUGCUUGAAUAGAUUAGCAUGGAAUAAUAGAAUAGGACGUUGGUUCUAUUUUGUUGGUCUAGGACCACCGUAAUGAUUAAUAGGGAUAGUUGGGGGCAUUAGUAUUCAAUUGUCAGAGGUGAAAUUCUUGGAUUUAUUGAAGACUAACUAUUGCGAAAGCAUUUGCCAAGGAUGUUUUCAUUAAUCAAGAACGAAAGUUAGGGGAUCGAAGACGAUCAGAUACCGUCGUAGUCUU
rnacentral:rRNA from 1 species